rnacentral:snRNA from 1 species
GGAUGUGAGGGCGAUCUGGCUGCGACAUCUGUCAUGCCAUUGAUCACCGGGGUUGAUUUGGCUGAUCUGGCUGGCUAGGUGGGUAUCCCCUUCCUCCCUCACCACUCCAUGUGCAUCCUCCUGAAGCUGCACGAUCGGUCGAAGAGGACCACCAUCCCUGAUAGAUAAAAUCAUCAGAUCUCCUG